AACGAACGCUGGCGGCAGGCCUAACACAUGCAAGUCGAGCGAACCCUUCGGGGUUAGCGGCGGACGGGUUAGUAACGCGUGGGAAUAUACCCUUUGGUACGGAAUAGCCUCGGGAAACUGAGAGUAAUACCGUAUGUGCCCUUCGGGGGAAGAUUUAUCGCCAAAGGAUUAGCCCGCGUUGGAUUAGAUAGUUGGUGGGGUAAUGGCCUACCAAGUCUACGAUCCAUAGCUGGUUUGAGAGGAUGAUCAGCAACACUGGGGACUGAGACACGGCCCAGACUCCUACGGGAGGCAGCAGUGGGGAAUCUUAGACAAUGGGCGCAAGCCUGAUCUAGCCAUGCCGCGUGGACGAUGAAGGCCUUAGGGUUGUAAAGUCCUUUUCAGAUGGGAAGAUAAUGACGGUACCAUCAGAAGAAGCCCCGGCUAACUCCGUGCCAGCAGCCGCGGUAAAGUCUGUACU
rnacentral:rRNA from 1 species